GGGCACAUGGUGUAGUUGGUUAUCACGCUCGCUUAGCAUCUGUUCGCGUCCUUAUGGUCGUUGGCUUGGUUUGCGAGAGGUGUUGGGUUCAAUUCCCAAUGCGUCCA